CUGUAGUCUCUACUUCGCCCGAUUUGUGAGGUCGUCAGAGGUUGUGAACCCGAGGAAUUGCAAAGAAAACGGAAAUUCCUGAGCAAUUGGGAUUGAGAUUUUUCAAUUCAUUUUAUUUCCAAUAGGUCUUGUAGAUCAGCUAGCCCAACAUCUUUAUUUUCCAUAUAUUGUGGAAAUCUAUUUCAUUUAUUGAAUACAUAAUUAUUUUGCAUCGGACCAGUCCCGGAGGGUGGAGAGGAUCGAACUGAAACACUGGCUCUUCCUGGGUCUCCAGCCUGCCAGCCUUUGGCUGGAACUACAGCCUUCAUUCUCUUGGUUCUCAAGCCUUCAAACUUGAACUGAAACGACCAUCAGCUCUCCAGCUUGCAGACUCAAUCUGCAGAUCUCAGGACCUGUCAGCCUCCAUUAUCAUGGUGAAGAAACUGAGACUCAGAGAGGCUUCUCCUCAGAAACUCUACAGAGAAUAAACUCUUAGUUCGGUGAUUAAGGGACUUGAGAAAGUGUCAAAGCUGUCACUGAAAUGCCUGCGGCAGUUGUGGAAGCCCUGAAGGCACUGGAGAAUUUCUUUACUCCUCCUGGAACAAGAUCAUGAUCAAGAGGCUAAAAACACGAGAACAAGAUGUCAGCAGAUUUGGUUUCUUCUGAGACCUGUCUCCUUGGCUUGCAGAUGACUGCCUUCUCACUGUGUCCUCACAUGGUGGUCCCUAUGUGUUGUCUGUGUCCUGAUCUCUCCUUCAAGGACACCACUCACCUCGGAUUAGGGCCUAUCUUAAUGACCGCAUUUUUUAUUCAAUUGCCUCUUUAUAUAAGUCUUACCCCCAAUAGUCAACAUUCUUAGAUACUGGGAAUUAGGGCUUCACAUAUGAAUGGGGUUGGGGAGGUGGGGUGGACACCUUUCAGUCCUAACAGGGCUUAUUCUGAAAAUCUGUGAGCCUAGGGUUGAAAACUGGGGACCCACUAUCAGGGGCAGCUAGUCAGUCCAGGCUGCUCUUCUUCACUCUCCACCCCUUGCAAAGGGCAAAAAAGUUUUCAAAAGUAUUUCUGCUUCAGUUUCUAUUUCCCUCAAUGAGUUGUCAAUCUCUGUAAUGCUUUACCUAUCAACUGUGCUGAGAAAACAAAAUCAUGAACUCUGGCCUCAAAAAAGUAAUGAUCAAAAUUAAAAGGUGUAAUUUAAGACCCAAGUGGUGGCUUCUAUCUGAGUCUUGUGUAGUGUGGGUUCUGCAAGAUCCUGUCCACUCCAGCUGAAGAGGUUCAUUACCAAAAGACAGUAAGAGACCUGCAGGUAACUACCGGUACGACGUGCUGAGCUGGGUUGUGCUUUUGAAGGAAAAGGAGGAAGGAUGAGAAAAGUGACUGUCAUGGCUUAAAAGACCAGGCAAAAUGCUUCAGGUCUGCAAGGGGAUUUUGAGAGGGUUGAGUAAGGGGAUAAAAGGCAUCCACCAAAGUUUUCUGAGAAGGGAAGGCCGGGGAUUCACUACAAGCAACCCGCAAGCAGGGAACAAGAAUGCCUGGUUUUACCCGACAGAAACGAGGACGGAUGGACAGACGGACGGAGGUGGCCAUUUCCCUCCCGAGCCAGAGAAACGCACCGGGUUGGCGUGGGUGUGGGGGGAGUGACGACGCACCCAUACUCGCGCGGCUCCCAGCUGCGUAAAAGGCCAGGCCCCUGCGCGCCCUGGAGCGCGAAUCCUGAGCGUCCCCUAGUGACCCCGCCCGGCCUCAACCCGUCCUCCCCCGCCCCCCCCGCCCCUCCCUGGAACAGACUACGGUUCUGGGCCGCCGUGGAGACGCCUUGCCCUUUGAGGAGGACCCAUGGCCGCGCCCAAGAAAGCGGAGAAGCCAGCUGACCAAACUCUUGAAGGACU